AAGAUUACAGAGCCAAGCACUCAGACCAAAGCUGGGGAAUUUCCAGUGGAAACUUUCGGGGGAAGGAAAUGGAAGGUGGCGAGUGGCGGACUGGGAAGCCUCAUCAGGCCCAGUUCUUGGGUCCCAGUGCUCUUAAAAUCGAAGAAACGCCUCAACCAACCGCCUAGGAAUUUCCACUGGGUGCUUGUGGAGGUUCCCUCCGUGCCAUCAAAGACUCACGCUUCCAACGGUGAUGGAGUUUCCACUCAACCCUGGUGAUGGAGAAGUCCAGAUGAAGAUGGAACCCAUAAUCUGCUCCCUGAAAGAGCCUCAAAAAUUUAAAGAGACACAGCGAGAGAGGGAACACAAACAGGAGGAG